ACUUAAAUUGAAGAGUUUGAUCAUGGCUCAGAUUGAACGCUGGCGGCAGGCCUAACACAUGCAAGUCGAACGGUAACAGGAAGCAGCUUGCUGCUUCGCUGACGAGUGGCGGACGGGUGAGUAAUGUCUGGGAAACUGCCUGAUGGAGGGGGAUAACUACUGGAAACGGUAGCUAAUACCGCAUAACGUCGCAAGACCAAAGAGGGGGACCUUCGGGCCUCUUGCCAUCGGAUGUGCCCAGAUGGGAUUAGCUAGUAGGUGGGGUAACGGCUCACCUAGGCGACGAUCCCUAGCUGGUCUGAGAGGAUGACCAGCCACACUGGAACUGAGACACGGUCCAGACUCCUACGGGAGGCAGCAGUGGGGAAUAUUGCACAAUGGGCGCAAGCCUGAUGCAGCCAUGCCGCGUGUAUGAAGAAGGCCUUCGGGUUGUAAAGUACUUUCAGCGGGGAGGAAGGCGGUGAGGUUAAUAACCUCAUCGAUUGACGUUACCCGCAGAAGAAGCACCGGCUAACUCCGUGCCAGCAGCCGCGGUAAUACGGAGGGUGCAAGCGUUAAUCGGAAUUACUGGGCGUAAAGCGCACGCAGGCGGUCUGUCAAGUCGGAUGUGAAAUCCCCGGGCUCAACCUGGGAACUGCAUUCGAAACUGGCAGGCUAGAGUCUUGUAGAGGGGGGUAGAAUUCCAGGUGUAGCGGUGAAAUGCGUAGAGAUCUGGAGGAAUACCGGUGGCGAAGGCGGCCCCCUGGACAAAGACUGACGCUCAGGUGCGAAAGCGUGGGGAGCAAACAGGAUUAGAUACCCUGGUAGUCCACGCCGUAAACGAUGUCGACUUGGAGGUUGUGCCCUUGAGGCGUGGCUUCCGGAGCUAACGCGUUAAGUCGACCGCCUGGGGAGUACGGCCGCAAGGUUAAAACUCAAAUGAAUUGACGGGGGCCCGCACAAGCGGUGGAGCAUGUGGUUUAAUUCGAUGCAACGCGAAGAACCUUACCUACUCUUGACAUCCAGAGAACUUUCCAGAGAUGGAUUGGUGCCUUCGGGAACUCUGAGACAGGUGCUGCAUGGCUGUCGUCAGCUCGUGUUGUGAAAUGUUGGGUUAAGUCCCGCAACGAGCGCAACCCUUAUCCUUUGUUGCCAGCGGUCCGGCCGGGAACUCAAAGGAGACUGCCAGUGAUAAACUGGAGGAAGGUGGGGAUGACGUCAAGUCAUCAUGGCCCUUACGAGUAGGGCUACACACGUGCUACAAUGGCGCAUACAAAGAGAAGCGACCUCGCGAGAGCAAGCGGACCUCAUAAAGUGCGUCGUAGUCCGGAUUGGAGUCUGCAACUCGACUCCAUGAAGUCGGAAUCGCUAGUAAUCGUGGAUCAGAAUGCCACGGUGAAUACGUUCCCGGGCCUUGUACACACCGCCCGUCACACCAUGGGAGUGGGUUGCAAAAGAAGUAGGUAGCUUAACCUUCGGGAGGGCGCUUACCACUUUGUGAUUCAUGACUGGGGUGAAGUCGUAACAAGGUAACCGUAGGGGAACCUGCGGUUGGAUCACCUCCUUACCUUAAAGAA
rnacentral:rRNA from 1 species